rnacentral:rRNA from 1 species
CCUACGGGUGGCAGCAGUGGGGAAUAUUGCACAAUGGGGGAAACCCUGAUGCAGCAACGCCGCGUGAAUGAAGACGGUUUUCGGGUUGUAAACUUCUUUUUUUAGUGAAGUAUAGUGAGGGUAGCUACGUAUCAAGCCUCUACUAUCUACGUACCAGCAGCCUCGGUAAUACGUAGGUGGCAAGCGUUUUCCGGAGUUACUGGGUGUAUAGGGAGCGCAGGCGGUUAGCUAAGUCAGCUGUGAAAACGUCGGGCUCAACUUGGAGACUGCAGUUGAAACUGGUUGUCUUGAGUGAAGUAGAGGUGGGCGGAAUGCCGGGUGUAGCGGUGAAAUGCGUAGAGAUUCGGAGGAACACCGGUGGCGAAGGCGGCCAACUGGGCUUUAACUGACGCUGAGGCACGAAAGUGUGGGGAGCAAACAGGAUUAGAUACCCGUGUAGUC